AAAAUAUUACGUCAUCCCAGUACUC
rnacentral:piRNA from 1 species